rnacentral:rRNA from 1 species
UACAGAGGUCCCAAGCGUUGUUCGGAUUCAUUGGGCGUAAAGGGUGCGUAGGUGGCGCUGUAAGUCGGGUGUGAAAUUUCGGAGCUUAACUCCGAAACUGCAUUCGAUACUGCGGUGCUUGAGGACUGGAGAGGAGACUGGAAUUCAUGGUGUAGCAGUGAAAUGCGUAGAGAUCAUGAGGAAGACCAGUGGCGAAGGCGGGUCUCUGGGCAACAACUGACGCUGAGGAGCGAAAGCGUGGGGGAGCGAACAGG